GGGGAAUAUUGCGCAAUGGGGGAAACCCUGACGCAGCGACGCCGCGUGAGCGAAGAAGGCCUUCGGGUUGUAAAGCUCUGUUGUAAGGGACGAAAGAUCAAGGGAAUAACUGCCCUUGAAGUGACGGUACCUUACCAGCAAGCCCCGGCUAACUACGUGCCAGCAGCCGCGGUAAGACGUAGGGGGCGAGCGUUGUCCGGAAUUACUGGGCGUAAAGAGCACGUAGGCGGAUGUAUAAGUCAGGUGUGAAAGACCGAAGCCUAACUGCGGGGUUGCACUUGAAACUGUAUAUCUUGAGGGCAGGAGAGGUUAGUAGAAUUCCUGGUGUAGCGGUGAAAUGCGUAGAAAUCAGGAGGAAUACCAGUGGCGAAGGCGACUAACUGGACUGACCCUGACGCUGAGGUGCGAAAGCGUGGGUAGCAAAC
rnacentral:rRNA from 1 species